CUGACAUCGAUGCGAUUUCUUCAAUAAUCGGAGCUUCUUCAUCAGUUGGUGCUGCUUUUGUCGCCCUUUCUUCAGGAAUUGGGACAGUGAUGUUACUCAGAUCUAGGUCUGGGUAAAAUUUUGCAAUAGCAUCCCUACCAUCCUUGUACUCGACCCAGUAAGCUUCAUCGUUGCCUUCGAGGACUUCCUUUUUGAAAUCUUCAGAUUUUUUAUAGUCCUUAAUGGCUCGACUAAGGGCAUCCUGAGCGGUCUUCACCGCUUCCUUUGCAAAUGCUGACUCUGCAUCGGCAAGUGCC
rnacentral:lncRNA from 1 species